rnacentral:rRNA from 1 species
UAGGGAAUAUUGCGCAAUGGGCGAAAGCCUGACGCAGCGACACCGUGUGUAGGAUGAAAAUCUUCGGAUUGUAAACUACUGUCAGUUGAAGACGAAGGCAGUAGAGUUAAGAGCUCGAAUGUUGACGGUAUUCAAUUAGGAAGUCUCGGCUAACUCCGUGCCAGCAGCCGCGGUAAGACGGAGGAGGCUAGCAUUGUCCGGAAUUAUUGGGCGUAAAGAACACGUAGGCGGUUUGUCAAGUCAUUUGUGAAAACCUUAGGCUUAACUUAAGGAUUGCAGAUGAUACUGGUAAACUAGAGUACAGCAGAGGAAAGCGGAAUUCCUGGUGUAGCGGUGAAAUGCGCAGAUAUCAGGAAGAACACCAGUGGCGAAAGCGGCUUUCUGGACUGUUACUGACGCUGAGGUGUGAAAGCUAGGGGAGCGAACA